rnacentral:rRNA from 1 species
AGUGAACGCUGGCGGUAGGCCUAACACAUGCCAGUCGAACGGCAGCACAGUAAGAUCUUGCUCUUACGGGUGGCGAGUGGCGGACGGGUGAGGAAUACAUCGGAAUCUACUUUUUCUUGGGGGAUUACGUAGGGAAACUUACGCUAAUACCGCAUACGACCUACGGGUGAAAGCAGGGGAUCUUCGUACCUUUCGCGUUUUUAUUAGCCGAUGUCGGAUUAGCUAGUUGUCUUGGUAAAGUCCCACCAAGGCGACGAUCCGUAGAUGGUCGGAGAGGAUGAUAAGCCACACUGGAAGUGAGACACGGUACAGACGCCGACGGGAGGCAGCAGUGGGGAAUAUUGGACAAUGGGCGAAAGCCUGAUACAGCAAUACCGCGUGGGUGAAGAAGGCCUUCGGGUUGUAAAGCCCUUUUGUUGGGAAAGAAAAGCAGCAGGUUAAUAACCCGCUGUUAUGACGGUACCCAAAGAAUAAGCACCGGCUAACUUCGUG